UGAGGAAUAUUGGUCAAUGGGCGCAAGCCUGAACCAGCCAUGCCGCGUGCAGGAUGAAGCAUCUAUGGUGUGUAAACUGCUUUUGUACGGGAAGAAACACCUCUUCGUGAAGAGGCUUGACGGUACCGUAAGAAUAAGGAUCGGCUAACUCCGUGCCAGCAGCCGCGGUAAUACGGAGGAUCCAAGCGUUAUCCGGAAUCAUUGGGUUUAAAGGGUCCGUAGGCGGUUUUGUAAGUCAGUGGUGAAAUCCGGCAGCUCAACUGUCGAACUGCCAUUGAUACUGCAGGACUUGAAUUAUUGUGAAGUAACUAGAAUAUGUAGUGUAGCGGUGAAAUGCUUAGAUAUUACAUGGAAUACCAAUUGCGAAGGCAGGUUACUAACAAUAUAUUGACGCUGAUGGACGAAAGCGUGGGGAGCGAACAGG
rnacentral:rRNA from 1 species